rnacentral:lncRNA from 10 species
UUUAUUUCUGUCUCUUGUCUGGUUGCUCUGGCUAGGAUGUUCAGUACUAUGUCGAAGAGAAGUGGAAACAUAAAGAUACUUGCCUGACCCAGAGCUUAUCCCCUCAAACCAGACCAUGUCCUCCUACUUCUGUGCCAUUUAGAUGUGUUAAAAGGGGGAAGAAGAGGAAAAAAGAAGACAAAGAAAAAGACUAGAAAUCUGAAGUGCUUCUCCUCCCUGCAGUCACCUACACACACACACACACACACACACACACACACACACACACACACCACUAUUUCUUACCUCCAGUGAAAAAUAAGCCAAACCACCUCUUUGAAAAGCUUACAUUUACACAUACGGAAACAUAUGUUCAUUUUCAAAUGGUGAAGAAGUGCAUUGAAACCAGUACCAAAAUUAUCUAGCAAGUAAAUUCCAGG